rnacentral:rRNA from 1 species
GUCCAGACUCCUACGGGAGGCAGCAGUGGGGAAUAUUGGACAAUGGGGGGAACCCUGAUCCAGCGACGCCGCGUGAGUGAAGAAGUAUUUCGGUAUGUAAAGCUCUAUCAGCAGGGAAGAAAGAAAUGACGGUACCUGACUAAGAAGCCCCGGCUAACUACGUGCCAGCAGCCGCGGUAAUACGUAGGGGGCAAGCGUUAUCCGGAUUUACUGGGUGUAAAGGGGGCGCAGACGGCAGCGCAAGCCAGGAGUGAAAGCCCGGGGCCCAACCCCGGGACUGCUCUUGGAACUGCGCGGCUGGAGUGCAGGAGGGGCAGGCGGAAUUCCUGGUGUAGCGGUGAAAUGCGUAGAUAUCAGGAGGAACACCGGUGGCGAAGGCGGCCUGCUGGACUGCGACUGACGUUGAGGCCCGAAAGCGUGGGGAGCAAACAGGAUUAGAUACCCGUGUA